UUAUAUGGCCAUACCACCCUGAACGCGCCCGAUCUCGUCUGAUCUUGGAAGCUAAGCAGGGUCGGGCCUGGUUAGUACUUGGAUGAGACUUUUAAUUUUUUAAAAAAGUAAUUCACGUUAUUGUGAAAU
rfam:Equus caballus chromosome 29, whole genome shotgun sequence.